GUGCUCGCUUCGGCAGCACAUAUACUAAAAUUGGAACGAUACAGAGAAGAUUAGCAUGGCCCUUGCGCAAGGAUGACAUCCAAAUUCAUGAAGUUUUCCAUAGAAAA